CUUUGGGUUUGUGUGAAGGCUCUGCUCACCUCCCGAGCAACCACAGAACCGCAGAAAAGUUCGGCUCGGGAUUUUUGCACGGUGGCACGUAAAUGGUUAACUGUCGCCGGUCAACUUCAGAUUUGAGGACCGCACCAACUAAGGCGUCAAGGGUCACCGAAAACCACAGAGAAGCAAAAUUUGGGCGACCAUGGCAUCCAACAGCCUCUUUAGUUCUAUGACCCCAUGUCAGCAGAACUUCUUCUGGGAUCCCAGCGCCGGCC